rnacentral:rRNA from 1 species
AUGCAGCUUACCUGGGUGGUUUCAUCCAUCGCCGGAGUGCUGCUGGUGGCUGCCGCGAGUGCGGCACCGCCGAUGAUAGGGAAGCAGGGCUGCAGGACUACCUGCGGCAACGUGAGCGUGCCGUACCCGUUCAGCAUCGGCCACGGCUGCUACUCGCCGGGGUUCAACCUCACCUGCGUCGACGGCGCAAGCCCACCGCGGCUGCUACUCGGCAUUGACGGCACUCUGCAAGUCAUCAACAUAUCCAUCUCGAGCGCCACGGUCACGGUCAUCCACACCGGCACCGUGACGAUCGGCGCUGCCAGCGACGGGCAUGGCGCAUUCCUUAGCGGCAGCCUCGACGCCGACGGACCUUACGCUCUGGCAGUGGGCCGUAACGAGCUAGUAGUGACUGGCUGCAACGUGGAGGCGACUCUACGGGAUAAAACCAGCAAUCUCAGCAUUGGCAGCUGCUCCUCCUUCUGCCCCGGCGCCAGCUGGUUCACCGGCUUGCCGCCUGCCGGCGGCGGUCCUGGGAAGUACUGCUCCGGAUUGUACUGCUGCCAGGACCCCCUUACCACUGACAUCCGUAAGACGACGGUGGACAAUAUCCUAGGCCGCGUCUCCUAUGACGUGCAGAUGACAUGGUUCGGCAGGAACCAUACGAAGGAUAAAGUGAUGCCCGGGCUCGUGUUCGUCGCCAAGGAGGGGUGGUUCGACGAUAACUACUCCUUGCAUAACUGGCUGGAAAGUACAGACGGCAGCCGACCUCCGCCGUCGGCAUUUUCUUCCGUGGAAGUCCCACUUGUCCUGGGGUGGGAGGUCCUCCGGCGUGAUGGUACCGCCGGUGGGAAGUGGUCCAGCGAGUGCACGGUAGACGCAGCCAGGAGUAUCUGCAAGAGCAAACACAGCGAAUGCUCUCCAGGCCCCAAAGGCUACCUCUGCGCCUGCGAGGACGGUUACGACGGCACUCCUUAUGUCACCGACGGAUGCCAAGAUGUGGACGAGUGCAAAUUCCAAGGAGAGGAAACUGUGUGCUAUGGCGAUUGCAACAAUACCUACGGAUCCUUCAACUGUAGUUGUCCCCGAGGAAGCCAUGGGGACCCAAGGAGACCCGGUGGCUGUGUCAGAACCAUCAAUAUAGGUUUAAUCAUUGGUCUAUCCCUAGUUGUUGGCCCAGGCCUUCUACUUUUGGUUUUGAGCAUAAUCAUAAUAAGACGUCAUCUUAGGCACCUCAAGAAGAAAAUGUUGAAAAGGAAGUUCUUCAUCCAAAACCAUGGACAACUGUUGGAACAGCCGGUAUCUCAUAGAACUGGCAUUGCUGAGAAGAUGAUCAUUCCACUGGAAGAGCUAGAGAAAGCAACAAACAAUUUUGAUCAGACUCGUAAGCUCGGAGAUGGUGGCCAUGGUGUUGUCUACAAAGGAAUGUUAUCAGAUUUACAUGUCGUGGCCAUCAAGAAGUCCAAGAUUAUGGUCCAGAGAGAAAUUGAUGAGUUCAUAAAUGAGGUUGCAAUCCUUUCACAGAUCAACCAUAAGAAUAUUGUCAAGCUUUAUGGAUGUUGUCUAGAGACAUAAGUCCCUUUGCUCGCAUACGAGUUCAUUUAUAAUGGAACACUUAGUGACCACCUUCAUCGAGAAUCACCAAGAUCCAUACCAUGGGAAGCCAGACUGAAGAUCACAAGUGAAGUAGGCAAAGCUAUCUCUUACCUGCAUUCUGCUGUUUCAUUUCCAAUAAUACAUAGGGAUAUCAAAUCUUCCAACAUACUGCUAGAUGAUGCCUUCACAUCAAAGGUCUCGGACUUUGGAACUUCAAGGUACAUACCAAUUGAUCAGACAGAGGCAACAGCAACAGCAGUGCAGGGGACUCGAGGAUAUUUAGAUCCUAUGUACUAUUACACAGGACGGCUAUCAGAAAAGAGUGAUGUCUAUAGCUUUGGAGUGCUUCUCAUUGAACUGCUCACUAGAAAGAGGCCAAACAUGUCUCUAUCUGCCGAAGGUGAAGGGCUGGUUCUUAAAUUUGGUGAAAUGCAUGCUGAAGGCAAUCUAAGUGAAAUAGUAGAUCCACAAGUGAUGGAGGAAGGAGGUAGUGAGGUGCAAGAAGUGUCUGAUCUAGCCGCGUCAUGCAUCAAAAUGAGAGGAGAAGAGAGACCAACCAUGAGGCAAGUGGAGAUGGUACUCGAAGGCCUCCUAGCAACCAAUAAUGAGAGUGCCGCAUACGACCUGCGAGAGCAACACUACCAGAAAAACUGGGGUUGCCGACGGCCAAAUCUAUGCCGGCGGCCCCCGUCGGCAUCUAUGGACCUAUGCCGACGGCCAAGGAUAGGCCGUAGGCGUAGAAUAGCCAUCGGCAUACAUCCAUCUAUGCCGACGGGGCCGUCGGCAUAG